GAGCGGCGGUCGGGGAGUGGUCGCCGGGUACUGUGGUUUCCCUUCCGCGCCAGCCUAUUUCUCGGGAGGUCCUUGGAGUCUGUAAUCAAUAGAAAUUGAUAAGAGACCAGAGGAGAAAUUCAGGAAAGGCUUCUUUGGGACUCGCUGUGAGGGAGUGAAAACAAGCAACAGGGAACAUUUCCACAGUGACUUCGGCCCUUGCAGUGUCCCGCCUUUUCUCAUCCUCACUCCGGAUAUGGAGCGAUCCGCGGGAAAACUGAGUCUGGACUACCAGGUGGAGACCUCCCUCUACAUCGCCAACCGGAAGGCGCAUCUUACUACCCAGCAGAAUGAAGAAAACCUCUCUGGGCCAGGACAGCCCAGCCACUGAGAAGCCUCCAUAUUUUGGACGCCCAGCUCCUCCAAUGGACUCCUCGGUUAUUACAGCCGCUCCAAACUACUCCUUCUCCCUUAAUAGCCUGCUCUUCAUUUUCUGAAGCCAGUUCCUGAGCCUGCAAAAGAAAUUUCUUAACGUUUCGUCAGAGUUAUGAUCGAGCAGAGGAGAGCCCUGAAACUGGGCAGGGACAAGACUUCAGGCAGCUUGUUUAGCUGCAGCAUCAGCCGAUCGAUGUCCUUUGGCCUCUGUUGAGACAGAUUUGGAAUGCCCAGGCUGACCAGAAGAGGUGAGAAAUCCUGUUUCCACAGCACUGUAAAAUCACGAGCCACUCCAAAGGCAUGGCACCUAUCAGUAUAGACAUUGUUUAUUUGACCUUUGGCUAAUUGACAAGCCCUAGUCAUGCAAUCAGUUCAGCUUGUUGGGCCGAUUUGGUGUCUGCAAGUGGAUAGUGUCUCUUGGCAAUCCUGCCCGGUUCUAGAACACAAAGGUAAAUUAUCUACGUACUGCAUCAGAGCAGUCAUUUGGAAAGUGUACAUCCGCCAAAUCGGCUUUAAGUAUUUGAGAAAAAUAAGUCGGGCUUUCAGUAUAGCUUUGUGGCAGAACUGUCCAAGUUAGACUGGCAAUCUUCCCAUGUAAAGGUGAAGAGGUAUUGACUUUCUUUUUCUACUGGAAUACUCAAGAAUGCGCUCCGUAGGUCAACUACUGGGAAAUAACAGGUGUCUGAUGGGAUGGCUGAGAGCAGUGUGGGAGGAUUAGGAACCACAGGGUGGCGGGGAAUCACAAGAGCACUUAGAGCUCUCAGUCCUGAACCAACCUCCGG